rnacentral:rRNA from 1 species
AGUGAACGCUGGCGGCGUGCUUAACACAUGCAAGUCGAACGAGAACGGGUUAUAGCUUGCUAUAAUUGUCAGCUAAGUGGCGCACGGGUGAGUAAUGUAUAGGUAAUAUGCCUCUUACUAAGGGAUAACAAAUGGAACGUUUGCUAAUACCUUAUACUCCUUAUUAACAUAAGUUAAUAAGGGAAAGAUUUAUUGGUAAGAGAUUAGCCUGUAUUGUAUCAGUUAGUUGGUGGGGUAAUGGCUUACCAAGACUAUGACACAUAACUGGUUUGAGAGGAAGAUCAGUCACACUGGAACUGAGACACGGUCCAGACUCCUACGGGAGGCAGCAGUGGGGAAUAUUGCACAAUGGACGAAAGUCUGAUGCAGCAACGCCGCGUGGAGGAUGACACAUUUCGGUGGGUAAACUCCUUUUAUAUGAGAAGAUAAUGACGGUAUUAUAUGAAUAAGCACCGGCUAACUCCGUGCCAGCCGCCGCCGUAA